AUGCAAGUCGAACGAGAAAUUUUGUGUUGAAGCUUCGGCUGAUUCAUGAGAUGGAAAGUGGCGAACUGGUGAGUAAUAUAUGAGUAAUUUGCCGAAAAAUGGGGAAUAACAUUUCGAAAGAGAUGCUAAUACCGCAUAAGACCACAUUAACAUAAGUUAAAGCGGUCAAAGGGGGCCUCUCCUUGGAAGCUCUCGUUUUUCGAUAAGCUCAUGUCCUAUUAGCUUGUUGGUAGUGUUAUAGACUACCAAGGCAACGAUGGGUAGCCGGCCUGAGAGGGUGGACGGUCACACCGGGACUGAGACACUGCCCGGACUCCUACGGGAGGCUGCAGUCGAGAAUCAUUCGCAAUGGACGAAAGUCUGACGAUGCGACGCCGCGUGAGUGAUAUGAAGGCUUUCGAGUCGUAAAACUCUAUCGUGGGGAAUGAAAACUGCAGAUUUUAAUAAAAUUUAUAUUUGACAGUACUCCAAAAUGAAGCUCCGGCUAACUUCGUGCCAGCAGCCGCGGUAAUACGAAGGGAGCUAGC
rnacentral:rRNA from 1 species